rnacentral:lncRNA from 1 species
ACCCAUACCAACUCCCAUUCCAAUCCGAACCAAGAGCAGCCUGAGCAAGAGGAGCAUCUCCAGCACCUCCUUGUGCCCAGCCCCUGGAUGGUGUCUUCCUGCAGCUUCUGGUGGUGGAUGGAAAACCAGGGAGGUGAGGUGGGCCUUGGCUUUUCCCCCCGGCAGCCCUAGCCAUGCAUCCCUUGGGAUACAGGAGCUGCUGUCUGCAGAGGGUGGCGAGCAGGAGCACAGCCUGUCCCCAGAUCUUGUCCCAGGAAGGGCUGGCCACCCUCCUUCCCUCGCUGCAGGCAGGUAGACAUUGGCUAUGCACAAUAUCUAAACAUUGCUGGGAGGAGGGAACUAAACACUCUCACAGGACUGAGUUCUGCCAUCCUCAGGGACCUGGAGAAGCAAAGAGCUGGUGCUGACUGAACUUAAGGCAGUGACUUCGCAGCCUUCAAAUGCCUGCUGCCCAAGGCUAGCUCCUGCUUGGAUUACACCAAAGGAAAGUCUGUAUGUACUCACUAGGGACCUUAAUUGAAUACUAAGGCCCUCAGUAACACCAAUGGACUCAAUGGAUCUCUGGGUGUGAUGUCAGCAUGGCUGUGCUGUGAUGGACCUGGACUCCCCACUUGGACAGCAGAAAGAAGGGACUGGUGUCUGGACUGGUCCCAGAUGUGGCUAGCUCCUGCACACUGCCUGAAAGUCCAGACCCUCUGGACAAAGCAGCAGAGUCUCAGCUCCUGUCACAACCUGCUGCAGAGGUUUGCCUUACAAAGUCCUUACCAGAUCAUAAGAACCAGAGACAGGAUGGAGAGCAAGAGGAUGCAACAUCCAGCUGAGCUGCUGAGAUCUCCACGGAUGUAGCUGUCUUCUGAAUGUUGUGGUUGUGCGGUGGAAAUUACUCAAUGACUGUCACUUACUUUGCCUUAUGUGUGACCUGAGCACAGAGCAGUCCAGGAAUAAGCCAGGCAUAAUGAGAUCUGCGGCUAGACCUGGGUGUCCUCGUAACCUACAGGUGACGCUGCCUGGGCAGGGAGAGGGCUGCUAUGGCAGCAGAGUAGGUGGUAUGGCAACAGCAUAACUGGUGAUAUUAAAUAAAGGACUAUUCAGUAAAAGUAUCA